UAGGUGGUGGUGGAGGACGUUGUGGACGAGGAGGAGGAGGCGGUGGAGGUGGAGGAGGAAGUGGACGAGGAGGAAGAGGCGGUGUACAAGUAAGAUUAGGCGGUGGUGUAGGACGUUGUGGAAGAGGAGGGGGAGGCGGUGGAGGUGGAGGAGGAGGAGGAGGUGGUAGAGGACUAGGUGGUGGAGGAAUCAUACGGUCAUUAGUGUUGGAGGAGACCUUCAAGUUUGUGCCACAAGUGAAGGCACAGA